rnacentral:rRNA from 1 species
CAGCAGCCGCGGUAAUACGUAGGCAGCGAGCGUUGUUCGGAAUUACUGGGCGUAAAGAGUGUGUAGGCGGUGCUAUAAGUUCGAUGUGAAAUCUCCCGGCUCAACUGGGAGGGUGCGCCGAAAACUGUAGUGCUCGAACGUGGGAGAGGAAAGCGGAAUUCCUGGUGUAGCGGUGAAAUGCGUAGAUAUCAGGAGGAACACCUGCGGUGUAGACGGCUUUCUGGACCAUUGUUGACGCUGAGACACGAAAGCGUGGGUAGCAAACAGGAUUAGAUACCCCCGUAGUCCCUGUCUCUUAUAC